CGUAAAAAACAGGCACACGAGACCAGCUCGGUCCGAUGCGCUCGCCGCCCCCUCGAUUCCGGCCAUCGCCGGCCAUAUCCGCCUCCGCUGCUUGCCGGAGAGGCUCCGCCUCGGUCUCCUCCUCCGGUUCCCCUGCACCAGGACGCAUGCCCGCGUACGCACGUGCAACCGCGCGAAACCCUAGCUCCCGCUUCGGUCUCAGUCGCCGGCGCCGCCGCGCCUUGGGCUGCACUCCCCUAUCGCCUGCGCCUCCUCUACGAUCUCCCGAGCUCCUGCUCUACUACAUCGACACCGACGACCACCUCCUGGUUCCCCGCGUGACCGCGUCGACCUCGCCAUUCGGUGGCGAGGCAAGCGCAGCCUCAAGUGUGGCCGCUGAUGGUGCCUCUGCUGGUUUUUCCACGCAUACCUUCCCUGGCAUCCGACGACGGGACCAAGAAGAGGAGACGAGAUGGGUAAGAAGUGCCCCGGCUGACAGUGACGGGAGGAGAGGAUGCCGGCGGCAGCAAGAAGUUGAAUCAUCUUGGUCUGGCCCUGAUGCCCUGAUGGUGAUAUCCGGUGUCAGUCCACCCGCGGGGCUUCGAAUUGAAGCAACAAGGUUAGAAGAGAUGGGAGAUGGGGCUCACGAACGAAGGUGGGGGCAGGCAGCGGUGGAGGUCAGAAAAGAUGGCAGAUGGGGGAAGGAAGUGAUGCAGGUUGGACAUGGCUGGCGUGCGGAGACAGUGGAGAAGAAUGGGGAGUUGUCAUACCAACAACGCUGGCUUGGACCCCGGGAUGACGUUCGUGCUGUUCAUACGCGGGGAUGCAGCUCUAAUCAGAAGGUGCGGGAGGCGCAGCUCGGCGAGGUUCGGCGUCGCCGUGGUGUACGAUGAUGAGGAGAAAGCCAGCCUCUACUCCAAUGAGUGCCGGCCCACUCUUCAUUUCUGGCUGUUUUGCUCGGGGCGGCAGAGCUUAGGUUAUCCGGUGGUGGUCAGUGUGGUGGCGUUCCUGACCUCUCCAUGGAAAUUAUUUUACCAGCUGCGUCCGGUGAGUCCGUGAACCCCCUUUUCCGAGCCCUUUAUCCCCGACCACGCGUCCACCCAGAUCGAUGUCGCCGUCUGCGGCGGUGCCUCGCGUGCCACCGCAAGUAAAUACCUCUGAUCCUGCCACUGGCGGCCGACCACUAUACAUGUUCGUUCCUUCAUGCCCUGUUCCGUGUCCGUUCGUGUAGCCUCCGAGUUCAGACGGUUCAUUUGAUGGGUUGCCCUUCUUCUAUUUUCUUACCUUCUCCACGUAUUUGGGAAGGUAAUUGUUCUCCUGCUCCUUUUUCAUGACGCUCUUUGAUGGGGUUCUGCAGAUUCUGCUCUAUGAUGAUUUUUUUUGAGAUUGAAACGGCAGUAUGAGCUUAAAAGAUUCCAAAUACAUCCCAUUUAGUUUCCAAUCUGCUGGCUUAGAGAAGUAAAUACUUCUAAUUUGUUAUUAGAUUGUUUCUUAAUUCAGAAUCAGAGUGAGUUUGUUGUUCUUCAUUAUAACUGUGAACCACCAAUCUAAAACUAUUUUUUCGCAAAAUUUAUUUUGACAAGAAUGAUACUGAUGCUUUAAGCUAUUCAUCUUUGACAUUUUGGAACUGUGAAUUUAUCUAUGAUAUGACAUGUGGGUAUCUAGAAGUAACUGUUCCGGGUCACAUAUUUGAAGCUAUUCAAAAAAUCAGUCCCAAGAGUUGUUGCUUCAUGAUAUACAUUUUUUGGCACUUUUAGUAAGAGGGCUUCAGAAUGACAACUGCUGCUAUGGAACUCUCCAUGAAUUUUAUCCUCCUUGUUUUCUAAAUUUAUACUUAUAGCACAUGUAUAUUUCACUAUUUAUUUACACUAUCAUAAGAUAUUGCUUUUGCCCUUUCCCAAUUUUUGUGGAGCACCAUUUGUUUUUGCAAAUUAGAUUGUUACGGUCUAUUUUAUCUACAUCGCUUAUUAGUAGUGCCUAAUUUUUAUUUACAUCGCUUAUUUUUGUUGUUGAGUUUUCAAAGAGGGUGCUGCCAAAGGGAAGUCUUGGUGGCAUGUGUUUGUGUUCUAGCUUUGUAUAGUUUCAGAAGAGGGGGCUGCCACUGGGAGGUCUCGGCAAGGAGCUUACAUGCUGAUCUGGUUGUGCCAUGGUAGAAGUCGACUCGCACAGAUUUCUCUGUUUUGUGAUGUCAACUCGAACACGCAGUCUUGGCAGGUCCGUGUGAGGGUUACGGUUCUGAAAAUAUCUGGAUGUGAGGAAGAACAAUUAGAUGGUUUGUUUCCAGUUCAGAAUUUGAUAAUUGUAGAUGGUUGACAAGAAGGUGGUUGGUGGAUGCCGUAAAGGAUGUGCUAUGCAGGGCUCCAUAUCAAAAGUUCAUACAAAGAGGUUUAGGGGAAUGCUUCUUACGGGACACGCUUACCAUUUGCAUUACAUGGAAAUUAAGAAGCAAAGGAUGCCUUUCAUGUUGUGGACCACGCCUUUGACAUCUGGAUCACCAAAUGGACAGACAUAAUUGAGAUCAACAAUUUUCCUAAGAGUCGUUCCAGAGCAUACUUGCUAACGUCAGUGAUAGGACCUAUCUCGCAGGUGGUUUACUCAUGGGUGUAGUGGUCAUUUGUAUCACCUCCAUUCGUUGUCAGGUCCGUCAGUUUUAUGGUGUGUUACUCACUAUGUUGGUCUCGGCUUUUUUGUGAGUGGAGAUGUGAUUGGCAUAGUGGCUGACAUAUCUCUGGUUGUUACCGUCAAUGUGAAAGGUCGCCCACUUCUAGGCAUAUUUUUCAUCUCACAGUUACAAGGCAGACGGCGAUGGUGGCCUUCUGGGGCAGAAAUGCUGAAGCUAUUCACAUUGAGCAUAUGGUUGAUGCGGGUUCUAGAGAGCCUGUGGUUCUCUUGGUUAUGGGAUGCACCUGUAAAAACAGGAUUUUUUAAGAUUGGUAGGAUCUGUUCAGCCAGUUGAGCUUAUCAUGGAAAGGGGACGGUGUUUCGGAGUGUCUAGAUCCAACGUGUGACCGUGCUAACAUAAAACGUGUUCUCCAUGGUUGGCCUAGCUACGACGAUGACAUCAUCGAUGCUGUCAGGGCGGCUCCAGAAGGCGCAUAUCCAAUUGAUAUUGUAGAGCAUGGUGUGUGACUUUUGAUGCUUCAGGGCUAUGCAGUGGUUUCUGCAGUACAUCUUGUGAUCAAACAAGGUUUUGCUUUUGGCGCAAACAAGGCUUUGCUUUUGGCAGUACCAGCCUUGAGAUGAAACAGUAAGGAAUUUGUAGUUGCUUUUAAUGAAUUGAUUUUUAAGCUAUGGGGCAAUUUCGGCAUGCGGCCAGCUAGGCUAGCAAAAGGAAUUAAAAUCUGUCUAUCCUGUCUUAUUAUGAAUGUGAA